GUGCUCGUUAAACGGAGAGCUAGUUUGCAUCUCCCACUACAACGAUGGAAUCAACCUUGAAGCGUUACCUUUUACCACAAAUCCAUUUAAGGUAAUCCAACUCUGUGGGACCAUCAAAGAAUGUGAUCC